CCAAUAGCGUAUAUUAAAGUUGUUGCAGUUAAAAAGCUCGUAGUUGAAUUUCGGGAUCAAUAUAUCGGUCGUGCCAUCGGUACGUACUGGUAUCAUUGGUUUCUCCUUUCUGACGAACCAUGAUGUCAUUAAUUUGGUGUUAUGGGAAGUUAGGACUGUUACUUUGAAAAAAUUAGAGUGUUUAAAGCAGGCUUUAGCUUGAAUACAUUAGCAUGGAAUAAUAAAAUAGGACGGCAUGGUUCUAUUUUGUUGGUUUCUAGGACCACCGUAAUGAUUAAUAGGGAUAGUUGGGGGCAUUAGUAUUCAAUUGUCAGAGGUGAAAUUCUUGGAUUUAUUGAAGACUAACUACUGCGAAAGCAUUUGCCAAGGAUGUUUUCAUUAAUCAAGAACGAAAGUUAGGGGAUCGAAGACGAUCAGAUACCGUCGUAGUCUUAACCAUAAACUAUGCCGACUAGGAAUCAGACGAUGUUAAUUUUUUAAUGACUCGUUUGGCACCUUACG
rnacentral:misc_RNA from 1 species